CAGUCGCCACGGUAAUACGAAGGGUGCAAGCGUUACUCGGAAUUACUGGGCGUAAAGCGUGCGUAGGUGGUGGUUUAAGUCCGUUGUGAAAGCCCUGGGCUCAACCUGGGAAUUGCAGUGGAUACUGGGUCACUAGAGUGUGGUAGAGGAUAGUGGAAUUUCCGGUGUAGCAGUGAAAUGCGUAGAGAUCGGAAGGAACAUCUGUGGCGAAGGCGACUAUCUGGGCCAACACUGACACUGAGGCACGAAAGCGUGGGGAGCAAACAGGAUUAGAUACCCGGGUAGUCCAUGUCUCUUAUAC
rnacentral:rRNA from 1 species